GACGAACGCUGGCGGCGUGCUUAACACAUGCAAGUCGAGCGGUAAGGCCCUUUCGGGGGUACGACGAGCGGCGAACGGGUGGAGUAACACGUGGGUGGACCUGCCCUCCAGCUCUGGGAGUAAGACCUCGGGAAACCGGGGUACUAAUACCGGAUAUGACUCCAUGACGCAUGUUGUGGGGUGGAAAGCCUUGUGCGGCUGAGGAUGGGCCCGCGGCCUAUCAGCUUGUUGGUGGGGUGAUGGCCUACCAAGGCGACGACGGGUAGCCGGCCUGAGAGGGCGACCGGCCACACUGGGACUGAGACACGGCCCAGACUCCUACGGGAGGCAGCAGUGGGGAAUCUUGCGCAAUGGGGCGAAAGCCUGACGCAGCGACGCCGCGUGAGGGAUGACGGCCUGUGUAACUAC
rnacentral:rRNA from 1 species